AGCAAAUUACUUAAUAGCAAUCAACAUAAACUAAGAAGGACAAUUGGCAUAAAUAAAUAAACUAUUAAUAAUGAAAUAAGGACUCAUAUAUGACACACUUGAUUUCACAGGGACCAUGUUUGAAAUUAUUCCUAAUCUUAAAACAUUGCAUGAAGACAGGGACUAAAAUGCCAAAACAUAUAAAUCUGAUGAACAAUUUAAAAACAGAGAAUAAAGCAAAUUAGGCGCAAAGGGGAGCAGACCUUGAUGCAGCGCAAAGAGAAGGGGCCUGCUGCGUAAAUAUUCCAUCUUUGGCGCAUCUGGAUGGAGUCGGGUCUCCAAUUGGGCGAAUGCGCGGACCCUUCCCCCCCUUUUGUUUUACACGGCGCCGUUUCAAACAGAUGAAGGCAUUUAAACCUUUUUUUUUCUCUGCAUCAUCCCCAGAACACAACCCCCUUUUGCAACCGAAAAUUACAGCCUGGGAACUAAUUUUUUAGGGUUUCUUUUUAGCAUUCGAAUCACCAUUGUUUUGGUGACCAUCUGCAUGUAAAGAGCACCCAGUCUCCUCGUUGAAGGUAGUUGAGCAAGUUUUAAAAAUGAUUUAGUAAGUAUCUUUCUCUUCUCCUCCUUUAUUUCGUUUGAAAAGAAACUCAAAUCUUAUACCAUUUUAUUUUACAAAACGAAAGGAAAUUCAUGAAAUACAAAGAGUUUGUUAUUGCUUGACCUCUCGCCCUCAAAUCCGCACAACAUAAGUAUUUGGGGCUCUCAUCGGUCUCAGAUCAUGUAAAAAAAAUAUAUGAGUAAACUAAGAGAGAAAAUAAAAAGAAAAAAAAAACUGGAAAAAUAUGAAAUCACCUUUAUCAAUUGCUUUUUUUUUCUAUUCUCUCUGUGUACAGAUACUAUCCUCGUAUAGUAUAUUCUAUGUGUGUGUGUGUCCUCUUAUCUCCUCUGUCUGAUUACAAUGAUUUAGGGCUCUUAUAUAGCCGAAAAGAAGAAAGAAAAAAAUAAUACAAAGAAGUCAUUUUCUCUUGUUUUUCUUGCUCUUUGCUGCUAUGUUUGUCUCUUUCGCAGGUACGGGGCGACGUGGAGGCGUACGAGGCUGUGCUGGCGCGGGUACGGACGUAGCUGGGGUUCGGCUGCGGCGUGAGGAGAGAACCCUAGGGUUCCUGUUCUUGAAAUGUUUCGGGUCUAUUGGGCCUUGUAAGUUUGGGUUAGGUUUAGUUAUUGGUUUUAGGCUGAUGGGGUUGUGUAAUUGGGCUUGGGAUAUUUUGGGCAGUUUGGGUUAGUUGGGUUAGGUUUAGGUUUGGGCUUUGGUAUUGGACUUCAAUGUUUGUAAAAGGGACAUUGGAUUUAUUAUAUAUUUUGGUAUUUUGGUAGGCCCGGGCUAAAAUUGAGCAUUACAGUGACAAUAAACAUGGCACUUGGUGUGAAGGGGUUUAUAUUAAAAAACUAUAAAAAUGUUUUAAAAAAUUAUUAAAAUGAUAAAAAAAUCAUAAAAUUUAUAGAAGAGUAGUAAUUUUUAAAAUUUUAUCAUAUUUAAAAAUAUUUGAAUGAUUUAUAUAAGUUUUCUAUAAUUUUUAAAAUUUUUAAUAAAAAAUUAAUUCUCCUUUUUUGUUUUCCCUCAUAUAUUGCUCUACAUCACAUUUUAGUCUAUCCUUAUCAACUUUCCUUCCAUCACCUUGAUGGGUGUCGAAACCAUCAAAUAUAAAUUCCUACAACAAAGAUAAC
rnacentral:lncRNA from 1 species